rnacentral:rRNA from 1 species
UACGUAGGGUGCAAGCGUUGUCCGGAAUUAUUGGGCGUAAAGAGCUCGUAGGCGGUCUGUCGCGUCGGCUGUGAAAACUCGGGGCUCAACCCCGAGCCUGCAGUCGAUACGGGCAGACUAGAGUGCGGUAGGGGAGACUGGAAUUCCUGGUGUAGCGGUGAAAUGCGCAGAUAUCAGGAGGAACACCGGUGGCGAAGGCGGGUCUCUGGGCAAUUCCUGACGCUGAGGCGCGAAAGCGUGGGGAGCAAACGGG